UUGACCUCAAAUCAGGUAGGACUACCCGCUGAACUUAAGCAUAUCAAUAAGCGGAGGAAAAGAAACCAACAGGGAUUGCCUCAGUAGCGGCGAGUGAAGCGGCAAAAGCUCAAAUUUGAAAUCUGGCGUCUUUGGCGUCCGAGUUUGUAAUUUGAAGAAGGUAUCUUUGGGCCCCGGCUCUUGUCU
rnacentral:rRNA from 1 species